UCCCCUAAUUUAGAAAGAAAAAAGAAUUAGCAGCAUUAUUUCAUUCAUCUUUCUUUACUCACUUUUCUUGUCGCAACCACACACCCACCGCUGAAUCUCCCGAAAUAUCUUCACAACACAAGAAAUUCAAUUUGUGUUUUCUUUUCCUUCUCUUCUUUCUAUCUAUCCAAAUCCAAUUCCACGCUCCUUAAUUUAUUUAUUUGUUUCUCUUCGGAUCCAAAUUCAAUACCAUAACCGUUUCAGUUUCAGUUUCACAUAUAUAUCCCUGUCUCUGUUUGGGUUAGGGACAUAGAAGAGUGUGUGAGAGACGGUUAUAUAUUUUUUUAUUUUUUUUUACGGUUACAACUAACUGAAUGGGGGAAGAGGUGAAGACGAGCGAGUACGACGAAGAGCGCGUGAUGGAGUGGGAGAUGGGUCUCCCAACCGCCAACGAUCUCACGCCUCUCUCCCAGCCGCUGAUCCCGCCGGAGCUCGCUUCGGCCUUCAGCAUCUCGCCGGAGCCCCACCGCACCCUCCUCGAGGUCAACCGCGCCUCGCGCAACACGCUCUCCACAAUCCGCGGCGGCGGUAGCGUGCACCAGGCCUUCUCCUCCAACAACAACAACAACCACCACUACGACGGCGACGGAGACGUCGGCGACGAGGAGGAGUACGACGACGCCGAUCGCGACGGCUCGGGGUCAGAUUCCCGGAAGCAGCGGAAGAUCGACUGCGGCGUGGCGGAGGAGGCGGACUCGGCGGUGAGGACGGAGACCUCGGCGGAGCGAACGGCGGUGAAGCGGCCGCGGCUGGUGUGGACCCCGCAGCUUCACAAGAGAUUCGUGGACGUGGUGGCGCACCUCGGGAUCAAGAACGCGGUGCCGAAGACGAUUAUGCAAUUGAUGAACGUGGAAGGGUUGACCCGCGAGAAUGUCGCGAGCCAUCUCCAGAAGUAUCGUCUCUACCUGAAACGGAUGCAGGGCCUUUCGAACGAGGGCCCUUCUUCUUCGGAUCAGUUAUUCGCUUCCACAGCUGUGCCUCAGAGUUUGCAUGACUCUGCUCCUCCCAGUGCCCAUAGCAAUGGCCAUGGUCAUCUCCCUGUUCCCAUGAUGUCCAUGCCAUAUCCCCCUCCCAUGAUGUCCAUGCCAUACCCCCCUCCCAUGAUGUCCGGCAUGCCCCAUGCCCAUGGCCACAUGGGCAUCCCCAUGCCUAAUUCCUCCGCCACCUCAGCUUACCAUCCUUAUAACAUGUUGCAUCAAAGGGAUUGGCCUCACCUUGCUCCUAAUGAUAAAUGAACCUCCAAGAUUCAAAGGCUUGAUUAUUGGUGGUGUAGCUUUCUGAGAAGGCAGGAGCUACAUUGAUGAUUACCUUGUAAUUCACACAAAUGGAUUAUUGAGGAAGUAUAUGAACAAUACUAUAUGGAGCUAGAUUACAAUCUGAAUCAGUAGUGUGUAACCCUGUGGGAGAUUUACAAACAUAUUGGUACACAUCUCUAAUUCCUGUCACCUAAUUGUAUGACGAGAAUUCUGGCUUAUUUCUUCUGGUCUGCCUAGACAGCUGAUUCUAAAAACCAUUGAAUAAAAGAAAGACCGAACAACAGACAGGAAACAUUUAUUGGUUGCUCUGGCAUUAAAUAUUUUUCUUUAUCUUAUACCUCUUGAUCAUUAUUUCCUUUGAAAGAGAUGUUCAAUUUUUUUGAAUUGGGUGCUGUAGGUUAUCAUGUUAAAGAAAUGUUACACUGGGAGUUUAACCCAUAACGCGAUUCACGCGUCUCCUUUUACCUGUAGAAUUUCAACUUGACUUGCUGACUUUUUGGUGGUAAUGAACAAACGUCAACCAUCCUAUGGUUUAAUCGAUUUAAA